ACUCAGGAGGCUCAGGGAAUUAACCAGGAGGGAACAGUAGCCCGGUUAAAAUAGUUUCUGUACUUCCAGAGGAAGCAAUUAAAUCUCAGCGUCUACCAUGGCAAAAGACCGAUUGUACUUGAGGAACAAAAUCGGGGAUGAUCAUCCUUUAGUGGCGGGAAGCUGGAAAAUGAGGGACUGUGGGCUGUGAGGAGAGAGAAAGAGGCUUGAGAAACCAGAAACCAUCAUUUGCAUCCAAGAAACUGUGCUCUCCAUGGCUUCCUCAAGAUGAGCAAACAAGAGUGAUACAGAUUUUUCUGAGAUGGACAGUGCCUCUCACUGACCCCGCCCCCAGUAUCCUACGACCAAGGAAAAGAAUCUCAUGUGUCAUUUCUGUGGGCCACGGUAGUUAAGGAAACUCCAUGUAUU
rnacentral:lncRNA from 1 species